GAUGAACGCUGGCGGCGUGCCUAAUACAUGCAAGUCGAGCGGAAGGACGAGAAGUUUGCUUCUCUGAUGUUAGCGGCGGACGGGUGAGUAACACGUGACUAACCUAUCUAUAAGACUGGGCUAACUUCGAGAAACCGGAGAUAAUAUCUGAUUAUCUUUUGAACCGCAUGGUUCAAAAGUGAAAGACGGUCUUGCUGUCACUUAUAGAUGGAUCCGCGCUGCAUUAGCUAGUUGGUAAGGUAACGGCUUACCAAGGCAACGAUGCAUAGCAGACCUGAGAGGGGGAUCGGCCACACUGGAACUGAGACACGGUCCAGACUCCUACGGGAGGCAGCAGUAGGGAAUCUUCCGCAAUGGGCGAAAGCCUGACGGAGCAACGCCGCGUGAGUGAUGAAGGUCUUCGGAUCGUAAAACUCUGUUAUUAGGGAAGAACAUAUGUGUAAGUAACUGUGCACAUCUUGACGGUACCUAAUCAGAAAGCCACGGCUAACUACGUG
rnacentral:rRNA from 1 species